ACCUCCAGAACUGGGAUGACCUUGCCCCCAGCUAUGUCGUUGCCCAACAAAAAUGACACCCCGUCAACUGGCAACUUUUGGACCACCCCUACACGGAACCGGCCAGACACAACAGACGACGACAGGGACAGAGACGCCACCACCUCCUGUGCCUUCCCUGUCAGCCUACACUGGAGCAGCAAAGGCCAGACCUCCUUAGGCCAGCGAAGAGCCCCUGCUACUCUCUCAAAAGCGGAGAAGUAGGAAUCCACUUCUGCUUCUCUGAAUGGAGGAACGACAGCUAUGUUUCUCCCAACAUCAAAAGGCCCCUCUCUUCCCACUGGUCAGCUUCAAGGCGGGCCAGCCGAAGCCUAUGUCUAGCGGUCUCCCCCGAGCCCUCAGGCUCAAAAGGAGAUGGCUCGAACUUGGGUAGGGUCAAAGGCACCCGUGUCGCCACCCCCACACCGCCCUCCGGCCGUGCAGGCGAGAGACCUGUCAGCACCUCAUGCCCUUCCCCAGCUUCCUCAGCUGCCUCUUGCUCCUCAACCUCUUCCUCCUCGACCUCCUCAUCCUGUGAGGGAACUAUACCUUGAGACAAUAAAUGCAGUGAAAUGACUGCAACUAUUUCUGCCUUGAGUGAGUGCUUGGAGACUGGGAUGUUAUAGUGAGCUGCUACCGCUAACAAGUCUGUUUUAGUGAGCUGUGACAAACCCUCAAGAGUAGGGUCCGCAAUAAAAAGGUCCACCGCCACAGACGCCAUCUUACACGGCACCGAGAACACACCACUACGGCACUAACAGGGAAACCCUGGUAACAAACCAAAGACACUAAACAACCAGGAACGCGUAUACAAAACACCAAAGCCAGAACUAGUCCCUACUCAC